UAUUUUUAAUAAUCUUCUAUGUAAACAUUUUAUUACCUUCUAGUUUUAAUUUGUUUUACAGAUUGUUACAAGUGAUUUUAUGCUCUUUUAAACAUUUAUAAAUGUGCUGCUUCUUUGUUUUUAUAGAGCUCACAGCCUCAGUGUCUUGUGACACAGGGACCAUGACAGAAAUUCAUCUUCCAGAAGGUCCCAGAGCAUCCACACCUCCUGAAAAGACCAAGGUGUGAGGUGUCUGCUGUUGAUUCCAGCUUCCACCUCAGUGACAGUGCAAGCUCAGUGAACUGUUCAAGGUAAAAAAAAAAUUAAAACAUUUCUGAAUUUUUAAGAUAUUAACAAUUAAAUAAGUAUGUGAUUACAUCAUGAAGGAGGCUACUGAUUCUGGCCCUGUGACACUUGGUGGUGACGUGUGAGCUGAUUCACCUGGUAAAUAACUUUUAAAUUAAAUAUUUUGUUUUUGCUAUCAAAAGUAAAUUAACUAAUAACCUGCAUUACUGCAGGACACUCAGCAAAAUAUGGACUCUACACCAUGAGGCAGGCACACGUUAAUAACUCUAUAAGAGCACAUAAGCCUGGCUGAUCACCUGAUAACUCCUGUCAUCUGGUUAUGACAGCAUGAGGAUGUCCUCACACACCUGUAACCUAUCAGCUCAUCUAGCAGAAUAGAGAGAGAAGAGACAACACCACAUCUCCUGUUCCUGGAAAGCCUUCAGCCAUCCUUUGAUGACUGAGAACCUCCAUCAGCUCUGUCUCCUGUCUGCCUACAAUUAUUAUAAUAAAUAUUGUGUUUGACAA